AACCACUUCGGUGGGGAUUAGUGGCGAACGGGUGAGUAACACGUGGGCAAUCUGCCCUGCACUCUGGGACAAGCCCUGGAAACGGGGUCUAAUACCGGAUACUGACCCGCUUGGGCAUCCAAGCGGUUCGAAAGCUCCGGCGGUGCAGGAUGAGCCCGCGGCCUAUCAGCUUGUUGGUGAGGUAAUGGCUCACCAAGGCGACGACGGGUAGCCGGCCUGAGAGGGCGACCGGCCACACUGGGACUGAGACACGGCCCAGACUCCUACGGGAGGCAGCAGUGGGGAAUAUUGCACAAUGGGCGAAAGCCUGAUGCAGCGACGCCGCGUGAGGGAUGACGGCCUUCGGGUUGUAAACCUCUUUCAGCAGGGAAGAAGCGAAAGUGACGGUACCUGCAGAAGAAGCGCCGGCUAACUACGUGCCAGCAGCCGCGGUAAUACGUAGGGCGCGAGCGUUGUCCGGAAUUAUUGGGCGUAAAGAGCUCGUAGGCGGCUUGUCACGUCGGUUGUGAAAGCCCGGGGCUUAACCCCGGGUCUGCAGUCGAUACGGGCAGGCUAGAGUUCGGUAGGGGAGAUCGGAAUUCCUGGUGUAGCGGUGAAAUGCGCAGAUAUCAGGAGGAACACCGGUGGCGAAGGCGGAUCUCUGGGCCGAUACUGACGCUGAGGAGCGAAAGCGUGGGGAGCGAACAGGAUUA
rnacentral:rRNA from 1 species